GAAACUCAUCAACUAGAGUAUACCUCAAACAAGCAAGAAAAAAAAAAAGGUACAACAAAAAACAAUUUACUUGGCAGUUGAAUAGUAAGGGAAAAGAAACUGCGCCAAUACUACUGGUGCUUUGAUGUCUAACAAUGCACUCAUGAAUCCUGUCAGAGGUGCUGCCUAUUGAGCAGGUUGUUUUGAAAUUGUGUAUUCCCUGAAGUUGAUGAUGCAUGCAUUUUGAGUGUACUGUAGGGAUGGGACAACUUGCAAAGAAAGAUUGCUUGGCUCUCCGGACACUGAAUCUCAACACAGAAUCUUCAUCAGUAGAAAAAACAGAACAAAUGUAGAGGCUUGUGGAGCAGAAAAGGCCACAGAACUGCUAUUCUUCAUCGCUCUUGAACCAGCCAUGACGAAGUCCAGCACUUAACACUGGUUAAUCAGUGUUGUUCAACAGUGCCACUGGAAAAUGCUUUAUUUCAUCUUUGGACUGGAUUCCUCAAAACUUCCUCUGUCAUUCAUCUGUUAAGUGUGUCUGUGAAGUGAUCAAACGUGAGAUGUCCCUGUGCGUCUGGUCCCUAAGGGAACCUAGACUGGAACAGCAAAUAGUCACUAACCAUUUUCCCCAACAUUCUUCAUGCUUUUCUCACUGGUUAUACGAAUCACGUGAUGUGAAAAAACUUGUGCAGCAAGUAUGCUCUGGUCAUUUACGUUUCGGAAGAACAAUCACCGUCGGAAAGAAGAUGUUAGAAAGUAACACACCCACAAUAUCUAACCUUUAUCUUACUCAUGAACUGUGUCUGAAGGACCAAAGAUAAGUGGGUAGGAGGCAACAAACUGCUAGAUUAAAAUUGUUAUGACAGGCUGGAUCUGGCUCAUAAAACUUUUUUGUUUUUUAAGGCUUUCUGAUAGAGUUAAGCUUCCUAGCUUGUGCAAAUAGUGUCAUAUAACUGGCAGACGCACUUGAAUUGAUGAGAGGUUCUUGGCUAUCUUAGAAAAUUGGUGUAGUUGCCUUGGAUUCACAAUAAAUGCCUAGAAGACAAAGUGACUGUAUCUAGAAAAAGGGAAAACAUAUUAAGGGUUGAAAUGAAGCAGGGAUAAUCUUUUAAUACACAAUCUUGUUUGUACACCUAGGAACCUUGACCAGUGUUGACGAGCUUACAAGAGUAGAUGCUUCAGCCACAGGAGUUGCAAAGUUUGAUAUAAUUCCACAUAGCAUAAAAACAAGAUCUUUGGAGAGAAAUUUACCUGAAGUGAAAGUUUGAAUUUGGGAGACAAUGAAUGUUUGUCAUCUUGCAAACUAGGCAUGUGGCUGCUGAUCAGGAAGACUCUUUCUCUUGGGUCCACCAAAUAGCUGUUCUUUUAUAUUAAGUCUGCUCAAUUCCAUGCCCCAUUACAGGAUUCUCUGCAUAGUUUUUCUAAUGUACAAGGUGCUAGUGCCAGCACUGUGUAGUCAGGACCUCUGAAGAAAUACUAUGUACCCGCUUCAGCAAGCAAGAGAACAAUACUGAGAAAUACUGGAGACAUCAAAUCCCUGAGACCUUACUAAAAUUUAAACAGCGUUUACUGAAUCUGUGCUCUUUCCGUGUAGUGGCAAUAAAUUUUGUCUGUAGAAUUGUUUGGAUUGGAGACACAUUCUUUCCUCAUGAAUAUUUUUAAACAGGACACAUUCCAGAUGCUUGCUCACUGUGUCCCAGUCAGUUAGAUAGUUCCGUUGUAGAGUAAUUUAAUAGACUGUUAAUAAAACUUUUUGAUAAAACUUUGGUACGCCAGCCAGUUCCAUUACUCCCUGUGCAGUUGUCUGGGUGAUCUGAUCUGGGAGCUAAUUUUUAACGUGAGAGUAGGUAGAGGGAGAUCUUUGCUUCUUGCACAACUGUUUUUCCACUGGCUGGACUAAUGUCAGAUCUUGAAGUCAUAUGACAACUUAUCUGCUGAAGUAAAAAGUCCAAUAGGAGUUCAAUAAUAUAGGUUUCAUUUGCUGUAAGCUCAAAGGAAAACACUGCAAUUCACUGCACUAACAGCAAAUGUCUCCUCUGUAGGAGAUCCAGUACUUUGCUUUGAAAUGUCAUUCAGUUCACUUGAAAUGCCACUUGGCAAAUAUGGGAGCUUUACCAUCUUUCCAUGAAGUAAAGAUCCAUUGAAAUAAGAAGCCUAUAAAGACAGCUAUUAAGCUGCACUGCCAUUCAGACCAAAAAAAUAUUAUACCACUGAAGCUAGUGAGAACUGAGGGAAAUUUCAAAAUUAUCCUUUUAACACUAAUAAGGAUUAUUCUCAGUUAUUAUUAAAACAGCAGAGCCAUGGUUAAAACCAACCAUUUGUGGAAAUCACAAAUACAAAGAUCUUCACCAGCAACUCUUCCAGAGCACUGAAGCAGAAAAAGUCUUGUCAUACAGUCUUGUGCCACAUAUGGAUCUGACCCCAAAAUUAAAUAUAUUAGAGUUUUAGAAAGAUUGAGUUGCCAAGGUGAGAAAUUGCCAUUUAAGAACAUCUAGCUUGAUUUUGGCUAUUUCAUAUCCAUCUUAAAUAUUUCUAAAUUAGUUUGAUUAAGAAUAUGUUCACGAGGAGGGAAAAACCUAAAAGACAGUGAUUAUCCCAUGCAUCACAUCUUUAAAUCGCCUUUAACAGAUCAUCAAUACGACAUUAGUUUUCUUUCUAAAGCAUAAAGAUUAUCUCUUAGCACAACAAACAGUCUGUGAGUGGCUGAAUAGAAGGUGAUUUUCGGUAACAGAACUGUUGAAGCAUUCUUAACAUGACACAGUUUUCUGCACUUUUAGCAGUUGAGAAGCUAGGCACCUAGUCUGACCUGCUCAUUUAAGUUCCCUCCAUAGACAGGUAUCUCAAAGAUCAACCUCACCUUAUCCUAGAGGAUGGAAUUGAGAUAAAUUAGUACCUGUCCCCCGUUGCUGACCAGAGGUGGAACAUUAAGAAUCAGUUUUGACCGAACUCAGAUUUUCAUCUCUGGUCAUUCAGAACUGGUUUGGAGUUCUGUCCUAAUCAUAACUGAAAAUAAAAAUCAGAAAUUUCGAAGGACUGAAUUUUUUCCCUUUUGAAAUCAGUUUUCCCCACAGUUAUUUACUCCUUCAGCAGAAAUUUCAUGGUGAAGAAAUCAAUUUCUAUUAUAAAUCCUUUCAGGAGAGAACUCUUCUUAUUUCUUACAUUCUGAGAGAUGCUCCUCUCUCCAUUAUUCUAAAUACUUUGCAGUGUUUUGCUUCAGUGUUCCCUAUUUAAAAAGUUGCUACUUAUUUUAUCAAGCCACAUGAAAUAGUUGUGAGAAGUCACAAAAUCAGUUCCAAGUAUUAUUACUAGUUGGAUGGUUGUAGCCAGAGGGUUGUUGUCUUCAAUGUAUUCGUGUCCAGGUGGAGGCCAGUCACAAGUGGUAUCCCCCAGGGGUUGGUCUUGGGACUGGUGCUCUUCAACAUCUUUAUGACUGACAUAGACAAUGAGAUCAAGUGUACCCUCAGCAAGUUUGCCAAUGACACCAAGCUGAGUGUUGCAGUUGAUGCAAUUGAAGGAAAGGACAAGCCUGAAAAGUGAACCCAUGUGAAAUGAAUGUUAGUCAAGAAGCCCAAAUGCAGGGUGUUGCUCUUGUGUUGGAGUAAUCCCAGAUAUGUGUACAAACUGGGAGAAGACUUCAUUGAGAUUAGCCCUGCAGAGGAGUUGGAGGUCUUAGUGGAUGAAAAGCUGGACAUGAGCCAAACGUGCUCUUGUAGCUUUGGGUUGCAUCACAAGAAGGAUGGACAGCAGGGUGAAGAAUGUGAUUGUUUUCCUACUCAGCCCUUGUGAGGCCCCAUCUGGAUUUCUGUGUCCAUGUUUGGGCCUCCAGCACAAGAAAGACAUGGAGUUAUUGGAGCAGGGCCACCAAGAUAUUCAGAGGACUGAAGUACCUCUCUUAUGAAGAAAGGCUGAGGAAGCUGGGCUUGUUCAGCCUGGAGAAGAGUAACUUUGAGGAGACCUCUUUGCAGCCUUCUAGUACUCCGGGAAAGUUUAUAAAUAGAAGGAAGAGUGACUUUUUAUACCAUCUGAUAGUGAUAGGACAAGGAGGAAUGGCUUUAAACUAAAAGAGGGGAGAUUUAGGUUAGAUGUUAGGAAAAAAUUCUUUACUCAGUGGGCGGUGAGGCACUGAAACAGGUUGCCCGAAGAAAUCAUGGAUGCCUCAUCCCAAGAUUGUAUGAAUCAUGGACUCAUAGAAUCAAAGAAUCACCAAGAUUGGAAAAGACCUCCAAGAUCAUGCAGUCCAACUGUCUACCUACCACCAGGCAAAAGUGUGUCUUUGAAUUCCUCCAUUCAGAAAAAUUGCACCCAUUGCCAUUCAUCAACACUUGCUGAAUGUUUUUGGUGACCAGACAAUGGAGGUUAGCACAGUGUGGUGGUGGAUGGUAUGUUUCAGCAAUGGCAACAAUACUGUGAAAGACAAACCACAUUUUGAAUGGCCAUGCAGAUUUUUAUG
ensembl:lncRNA